rnacentral:misc_RNA from 1 species
GGAAGUAAAAGCCGUAACAAGGUUUCCGUAGGUGAACCUGCGGAAGGAUCAUUAAUGAGUUGUCAUGGGGUUCGAUGCUGGCAGCCAAUUUUUGGAUGCAUGUGCUUGCCCUAACAAUCAUCUUCCAAACACCUGUGCACAUUUUUGAGGGAGUCUUGAGUUGGUUGCCGCUCUUGGGUGAUUUUCUCACAUUCCCUUAAAUCAUUAUACGCUAUUAACAAUGUUGAACGUGCUCUGUGCCGCAAGGCUAUUAAUAUAAUACAACUUUUAACAACGGAUCUCUUGGCUCUC